AGGGCUGCAAGCAGGGCCGCUCAGUUGGAGCAAGUGAGGGAGCCCAGGCUGCCGUGGCCCUGCCCAUCAAAUGCCCAGAAAGAAGGCUUGAGGUAGAAAGGAAUAGGACAGUUCAGUGACGAAGCCCCAGCUCAGCUCACAUUAGACUCUCCAGAGCCCUUCGUGUGCUCUGUCCUACGUCGGCUUGGCACGGGGAAGGCCUCUUGUCUCUGAAAGUAACUGCUUUGUCCAUUCCAACGAAGACCUGCAUCUUGGUGACGGGAAAUGACUGGUUCUGUUUUCUUGCAGUCCAACUUUAGCAAGGAAAGCAGGGGGCGGAUUCCAGGCUGCACCCCAGUAGGAGUCUCUGCCGAGCUCUGCCAAAGGCAAGUGAGCUGAGCAGAGUGACUAAGUCAACCGGAGAGCAGGGCACCAGCCAACCUUCCCCUCCUCGGAGCCCCCACUGCCAGUCCCGAGACCUGUACCUCGGAUCUCAGCAAUGAAAAAUCCUACUUGACUUAAAAGUAUAAAUAAAUGUAUGCUAAAUGUU
ensembl:antisense Gm29508 predicted gene 29508